UACGUAGGGACCGAGCGUUGUCCGGAUUCAUUGGGCGUAAAGAGCUCGUAGGCGGCUGCUCAAGUCGAAUGUGAAAACUCGAGGCUCAACCUCGAGCCUGCAUUCGAUACUGGGCGGCUAGAGUCUGGUAGGGGGAUCUGGAAUUCCUGGUGUAGCGGUGGAAUGCGCAGAUAUCAGGAGGAACACCGGUGGCGAAGGCGGCAUCCUGGACCAACACUGACACUGAGGAGCGAAAGCUAGGGGAGCAAACGGG
rnacentral:rRNA from 1 species